CCAAAUUAAGGUGAAACCGCGAAUGGCUCAUUAAAUCAGUUAUGGUUCCUUAGAUCGUACCCACGUUACUUGGAUAACUGUGGUAAUUCUAGAGCUAAUACAUGCAAACAGAGCUCUGACCAGAAAUGGAAAGAGCGCUUUUAUUAGAUCAAAACCAAUCGGUCGGCUCGUCCGGUCCGUUUGCCUUGGUGACUCUGAAUAACUUUGGGCUGAUCGCACGGUCUUUGUACCGGCGACGCAUCUUUCAAAUGUCUGCCUUAUCAACUUACGAUGGUAGGUUCUGCGCCUAC
rnacentral:rRNA from 1 species